rnacentral:rRNA from 1 species
UACGGGGGGUGCGAGCGUUGUCCGGAAUCACUGGGCGUAAAGGGCGCGUAGGUGGUUUGAUAAGGGUGUGGUGAAAGCCCGGAGCUCAACUCCGGGUCUGCCGUGCCGACUGUCAAACUCGAGGACUGUAGAGGCAGACGGAAUUCCGGGUGUAGCGGUGGAAUGCGUAGAGAUCCGGAGGAAGACCGGUGGCGAAGGCGGUCUGCUGGGCAGUUUCUGACACUGAGGCGCGACAGCGUGGGGAGCAAACAGG